rnacentral:rRNA from 1 species
AUCGCAGAUCAGGAAGCUGCGGUGGAUGCGUUCCCGGGUCUUGUACACACCGCCCGUCACACCACGGGAGUUGGAGAAGCCCGAAGCCGAUUAUCUAACCGUUUGGAAGAAGUCGUCGAAGGUGGAAUCAAUAACUGGGGUGAAGUCGUAACAAGGUAGCCGUAUCGGAAGGUGCGGCUGGAUCACCUCCUUUCUAAGGAGA